AAGCAUAUCAAUAAGCGGAGGAAAAGAAACCAACAGGGAUUGCCUUAGUAACGGCGAGUGAAGCGGCAACAGCUCAAAUUUGAAAUCUGGCGCAAGCCCGAGUUGUAAUUUGUAGAGGAUGCUUCUGGGUAGCGGCCGGUCUAAGUUCCUUGGAACAGGACGUCACAGAGGGUGAGAAUCCCGUAUGUGAUCGGCGCGCGCCCUCUACGUAGCUCCUUCGACGAGUCGAGUUGUUUGGGAAUGCAGCUCUAAAUGGGAGGUAAAUUUCUUCUAAAGCUAAAUACUGGCCAGAGACCGAUAGCGCACAAGUAGAGUGAUCGAAAGAUGAAAAGCACUUUGGAAAGAGAGUUAAAAAGCACGUGAAAUUGUUGAAAGGGAAGCGCUUGCAACCAGACUUGCGGGUGGUGUUCCGCCGGGCUUCUGCCCGGUCUACUCACCGCCCGCAGGCCAUCAUCGUCUGGGGCCGCCGGAGAAACCGUCAGGAAUGUAGCUCCCUCGGGAGUGUUAUAGCCUGGCGACAUGCGGCGCGCCCCGGGCGAGGUCCGCGCACUGCAAGGAUGAUGGCGUAAUGGUUGUCAGCGGCCCGUCUUGAAACACGGACCAAGGAGUCUAACAUCUAUGCGAGUGUUCGGGUGUCAAACCCCUACGCGCAAUGAAAGUGAACGGAGGUGGGAGCUUCGGCGCACCAUCGACCGAUCCUGAUGUCCUCGGAUGGAUUUGAGUAAGAGCAUAGCUGUUGGGACCCGAAAGAUGGUGAACUAUGCCUGAAUAGGGUGAAGCCAGAGGAAACUCUGGUGGAGGCUCGCAGCGGUUCUGACGUGCAAAUCGAUCGUCAAAUUUGGGUAUAGGGGCGAAAGACUAAUCGAACCAUCUAGUACCUGGUUCCUGCCGAAGUU
rnacentral:rRNA from 1 species